rnacentral:rRNA from 1 species
CCUACGGGAGGCAGCAGUGGGGAACUUGGACGAUGCGCGCAUGCGUGAUCCAGCCCUUUCGCGGCAGGUGAAGCCGUCGGGUUUAAACUGCUAUGUUCGGAGGGAAAUGGUCUGUGAUACGGGGGUCAUGACGGUACCGUAGAAUAAGCCCCGGCUAACUUCGUCCAGCAGCCGCGGUAAUACGUAGGGGCGAGCGUUAAUCGGAAUUACUGGGCGUAAAGCGUGCGCAGGCGGUGAUGUAAGUCAGAUGUGAAAUCCCCGGGCUCAACCUGGGAACUGCAUUUGUGACUGCAUCGCUGGAGUGCGGCAGAGGGGGAUGGAAUUCCGCGUGUAGCAGUGAAAUGCGUAGAUAUUCGGAGGAACACCGAUGGCGAAGGCAAUCCCCUGGGCCUGCACUGACGCUCAUGCGCGAAAGCGUGGGGAGCAAACAGGAUUAGAUACCCUGGUAGUCCACGCCCUAAACGAUGUCA